UAUUAACUGUGCACCUUGAAAGGCUGGAGAAACUAAGCAACUAGAGUCUCAUAUGAAGUUCAGCAAACAGAAAUGCAAAGUCUUUGGGGAAUAAUAACCACGUGCAGGUUGGGGUCUGGUAGAGUGGAAAACUGCUUGGCAGAAAAAGUCCUGAGGGUGCUGGCAGACAACAGGUGGAACUUGUUUUAGUAAUGUAUCCUUGUAAAGCAACAGCAUCCUUGGCUACUUCAGGAGGAAUACCUUCAGCAGAUCAGAAGAACGUGUACUAAAUUCCUGAGAUUCUCCUGAAGAAUUUCAGAAUCUUGAUAUCAAAGUAUUUUAUGUCUAAUUUACACUUUGAUUCCUGCUCUGAAGAGGAACACCCUUUCCUUCACUCCACUGUGUGUCUCACCUUUUAUGAACACUUUCUGGUAGCAUUCCGUAACUUUAUGAAGCAUCUUAAAGACGUAUUGACUUAUUGCCAGGCACAGAUUGGAUAGUGGGAAUAAACAGAACUAGUUUUGAAAUCAGUACUAAAUAGCAAUCACAUUAGUUUAAUCAAAAUGUCUUUACUCAAAAGCAAUGUUGUCAUCUUCCCCUUUACCAUCCUCAAAAACAAUCCAAAGGCUCCAGUCCCUUGUUCAUCUGGUGGCUGUGUCGGACAAUCUCCUGUAUAUCCAGGUAUCUCUUGUAUUCCAGAACUAGACACAGAACUCCGGGUGUAGCCUAAGCAAUGUUGAAUAGAGGGGAAGGAUUACCUCUCUUAACUUGCUGGUGUGGAAUUCUUUUGUGCAAUUUGAGGAAUUUCUUGAUUCUGUAAAAAUUUUAGAAAGAUACGGUAAAUCAUAUCAAGGGAAAAAAUAUUAAAAGAUCAAUUUCUCUCGCUUGACUUUAAUGGAUUUUGUAAUAUUUUGCAUAUCUUUAAAUGUGCGUAUUAUGAACUUGUAAAAUAACAGAAAAGUACUUCCGUUGUUUAAGUCCGGUAUAUAUACAUAACUUGUAAUACCUGAAUUUAUUCCCUCCCUGACUGCUAUGACCUAAAAAUAAAAUAGAAUAUUUGGAUAGAUUUUUAUUUGUUUGUUUGUUUUUCCCAUGGGAAACCCCUAAUUUCUAUCUACUCAGCAUUUUAAAAUUUCAUCUUUAACUUUAACAAGUAUUUUUACUUUAACUUGUCUGUUAAUUUUAUCUACCUGACAACUUUAGACAGUCAGUCUGACAAGCACAGAUAAUUUGUAUAGUUUAAAAGUCCUGUGAACUUUAUGUCAGUGAUGUCUUGAUUCUAAAUCUGGAUUUGAAAAUGUAAUUUCAGGACUACUGUGUUUUCAGGACAGGCACAGACCUAAAUUCAGGGCCUAGACUAGUGACGUGCUUUCAUACUCUAGACUUCUGCUGAACAAUAAUUC
ensembl:lncRNA